rnacentral:lncRNA from 1 species
UUCUUCUUCCCCUCUCCUCAACGCCUCAGGAGCAAACAACCUCCCACUGCGAGUGAAACCGCUGGGACCGGCAUUAUCCACCUUUAACACGGUGGUUUCACUUGCAGUCUGAUCUUCCACUACCUUCUCACCGUUACAAUAGACCUCUCCACCAUAGUGCCACGGCACGGCGUCAUCUUUGUCGUAGGGAAUUGGUCCAGGUACCGUG